UUGACCUCGGAUCAGGUAGGAAUACCCGCUGAACUUAAGCAUAUCAUAAGCGGAGGA
rnacentral:rRNA from 2 species